CAUUGGUGGAGAAGGGAACAU
rnacentral:piRNA from 1 species